CAGUCGAGCGGACAGAUGGGAGCUUGCUCCCUGAUGUUAGCGGCGGACGGGUGAGUAACACGUGGGUAACCUGCCUGUAAGACUGGGAUAACUCCGGGAAACCGGGGCUAAUACCGGAUGGUUGUCUGAACCGCAUGGUUCAGACAUAAAAGGUGGCUUCGGCUACCACUUACAGAUGGACCCGCGGCGCAUUAGCUAGUUGGUGAGGUAACGGCUCACCAAGGCGACGAUGCGUAGCCGACCUGAGAGGGUGAUCGGCCACACUGGGACUGAAACACGGCCCAGACUCCUACGGGAGGCAGCAGUAGGGAAUCUUCCGCAAUGGACGAAAGUCUGACGGAGCAACGCCGCGUGAGUGAUGAAGGUUUUCGGAUCGUAAAGCUCUGUUGUUAGGGAAGAACAAGUGCCGUUCAAAUAGGGCGGCACCUUGACGGUACCUAACCAGAAAGCCACGGCUAACUACGUGCCAGCAGCCGCGGUAAUACGUAGGUGGCAAGCGUUGUCCGGAAUUAUUGGGCGUAAAGGGCUCGCAGGCGGUUUCUUAAGUCUGAUGUGAAAGCCCCCGGCUCAACCGGGGAGGGUCAUUGGAAACUGGGGAACUUGAGUGCAGAAGAGGAGAGUGGAAUUCCAUGUGUAGCGGUGAAAUGCGUAGAGAUGUGGAGGAACACCAGUGGCGAAGGCGACUCUCUGGUCUGUAACUGACGCUGAGGAGCGAAAGCGUGGGGAGCGAACAGGAUUAGAUACCCUGGUAGUCCACGCCGUAAACGAUGAGUGCUAAGUGUUAGGGGGUUUCCGCCCCU
rnacentral:rRNA from 1 species